CCCUGGUCCUCGCGCUCGCUGCGCCCCCUUUAGGUUUGCAAGCCCGCCUCUGCAGCCGAAAGGGUAGGCACGCCCAGCAAAGAAUGGGUGAGACUGCUGGAGCCGCGGGCCAAGAAUGUUUCUGUCUGUGCAUCCCCUGCAGCUAUUAAUUUUUUGCGGCAACGAGCAAAAAGAGGGAUUUGACGAAAACCAGGGAGCCUAGAGUGUUUGAAGAAGAGCCAGGAGCAGUCAAGGUCAAGCAGUCUAGUGCCUGUCAAGGAUCUGAUGCUGCAGAGACAGGAUAAACUACACUGAAUGAGAGUGGUUUUCUCAACAGAGCAUUAUAUGAAGCAGAAGAAUUAAAUAUCACCGCCAUGCUUGGGUUUAUUUGCUAACCAAAAUAACAAGCUUUUAUAGAGCUUUAUCAUAGCAAGGCCACUGCUUUACAAUAACAUUAAAAUGAAAAGCCAUCUGGGGCAGCCGAGCUAAUAAUUAUUUAAAAUCAUUUAAAAGCCAGUGAAAAUAGAUAAUGUAAAUGUAGAUUUAAAACAAGGGGAAAGUAGGGACAUGCCUUAUGUCAGGCUAAGCCCAACCCUGAAAACCUUCUCAUGUAAAUAGCCCUGUUGAAGUCAACCAGUCGCAUAAGGGAUUGCAGGUUUGGGUCCUUAUUUUGUUACAGUUAGAAGGUCAGGGUCUGGUGACUGUAGAUGCAAAUACAUAUUUUCUUGGCAACAGUUGCUACAAGUCUGACGUGAAAUUUACAAUGAUUGAUAAGUGUGGCUGAGAGGUUUUGAAUGGUUUUGUUAACUUCUACACAUUUGUACUCUACUUUGCCCAAAGCCUUGGUGUGUGGAACUACAUGGGAGUCAAUGGGAUGGAACUCUGGGGCUGGGAGUGGUGCUUUGCAGUAGAAUCUGUGUAACUCUGGUUCCAGAGACCCUUGCAUUUGAUGGCUUCUCUCCCCCAGCUUCUUGGAGCCCAUCCGAGCAGUACACAGGGUAGGCAGAGAUUCACCUGCAUUGUCACAUUGCCCAUGCUCCACCCCUGCCCUUAGAGCUGAAACCACCAUGGCUGCAUCAAGUGCCAAAAGGCUUGAGUUUGGAGGCAGUUCUGAGGGCCUAAUAAAUCCUGAAACCCUGACAUGAGGCAGUUAUCCUGGCUGCAUUUCUCACAAGUGGAGGAAGCCACAUAUGAGUUAUUCGGGUCUCUCUAUCUUUCAUAUGCAGGCAUCAGAACUCGAGGUCCAGGUUCUGUAACCAGAGGAGGAUCUCUGUAUCAAGGGACGCUAGGCAUUGUAGACCGCCCUCCAGAUGUUGGGCUGGGCUCUCUUCCAGCACAAUGAGUUGUUAUAGGUGAUGCUGCACCAUAGUCACAACUUGGGGAGGACACCAGAUAUCCUGAGCUGCUGUCCCUGCACGGCUGCCCCAGACCAACAGCCUUGGUGCUAAAGGCUACAGACUCACAGCAACCACUCCCCAGGUCCUUGAUUGGAUGGACAGGCAGCACUUUCAUCGGGUACCCGCACUAUAUAUAGCGCCCAACAGGAAGAGGAAGUUGUCUGAGCAGCCGCCCAUUGCUUGCUGCCUAGAGUGCCUUGCCCUGUUGCCUCACUGGCCCCAGUCUUGCUGCCUUGCCUAACCUCAUCUCCCUAACUGCUGACCCAGCUUCUUGGAUUGGAUCUUCCGGCUUCUGAUCCCUGUGAGAACUCUGAUCAUUGCCCCGGACUGCCUCUGAUACGGAUUGACCUGCUGGCUAUCGGACCACCCUCACACACUUGACUGCUGCUCUGGACUGCCCCCUAGCCCACCCUGGGCAUUACACCUGUUAAGCCUGGUCCAGGAUCUACAAUCAAGUGGACAUGGAGGUGGGUGUAGCAUUGGAGCCUGAAUGUACUUAGUUUGUUAGACCAACAGUUCUCAAACUGUGGGUCAGGACCCCAAAGUGGGUUGUGACCCCACUUUAAUUGGGUCGCCAUGGCUGGUGUUUAAAUUUGCUGCAGCCCAGGGCUGAAGCCAAAGUCUGAGCCCCACCUCCCAGGACUGAAGCCGAAGCCUGAAGCCCUCAAGCUUUGGCUUCGGCCCCACUCCAGGGUGGCGGGGCUCGGGCUUCAGUGCCUCUUCCUGGGGUCGUGUAGCAAUUUUUUGUUGUCCGAAGAGAGUCGCAGUGCAAUGAAGUUUGAGAAACCCUGUGUUAGACUAUCUUUCCAACCACUGCUUCUACGCUAUAGUGGCUCCUUGGUGCUGCAUGGUAAAAGGUCAGAAGAAACUGUAGCAAAGGAGUGUCAAGAGAUCAACUAUGGUGACACAGCCUGGACUACAGGAGUAGGAUUCCUCCCCUGAAUACAACCAGGUCAUCCCAGACAAAUGCUUUUAUAUCAUCAUACACCAGCAUGUAUUCUAUUUAUGCCUCAUUUUAUUGUAGAGGUUAUUUUAAAUUGUUCUUAGAGCUGCAUUGGCACACAUUGGCAUUAUUUUUAUAUCCCUACAUCUGUGUAGCCAAGUUGCCUUGGUUAUCAUCUACCAGGCCUCAGAAUGAUAGAAAAACUAGAAUAAAAUUAAAACCCCUCAAAAACAAAAACUUUAUGCCACUGGAACAUGGGGAUUCCCAUCUCCCUAUUGAAAUGCAGCACAUAUUUCUAGCCAGCAGAUUUUAAAUCUACCACUGGCUCAGCACUAAAUAUUACCUAUCCUGGAUCUUAGAUCAGUGUAAUUUUGGGUUAGGAAAUUAAACACCUGGAAGGAAAGAAGAAAAUACCUUUUGGCUAAAUGAAAUGGAAGCUGCUCAGAGGCUUAGGUGGUCAGAAAUAGUGCCAGUGGCAAUGAAUUAGUAGACAGAGUGCAGGUGGGGAGAUGGAAGGUACAACAUAAACUUAGCUGAUCACGUGGCUGCAGAAAUACAGGGUUGAUGAUACUCGAUAGUGGUAGUGAGUUUCUAAUGACAGUCCCACUGCGCCAUUCUGCAGCCCUUUGAUUGUGAUUUAGGAAAGUGUGCUUAACUUUAAACAAAUACUUAAAUUCUAUCAACUUAAAUGGGACUUAAGCAUAUGCUUAACUGCAUUCUUAAACAAGGAUGCUUGCUGAAUCAGGGCCUUAGUCCCCACGCUGGCAAAACGCCUGUUAACUUCUCUGAGAGUUUUACCUGUGUAAAGACUGCAAGACUGGACCUAACAGCCCAGAUACUGAAUAGUCCAUGAGAGUUACAUUGAUAGAUCCCCAUUCAUUGGAAAGAGAAAAUGCUCUCUGUUUAAAUAACAUAUAGGGUUUGGCGUGAAUUGACAAAAGCUAGGGAAUUCUACAUUGUUGCCAACACUUUGCUCUUUACCCACUCGUUUUGCUUUUUCCAUCUAUAAUAGGACAAGUUAAAGAGGCUGUCAGCACUCACUUUGUUUUUCCUGACUUUUGUCAGUUGAAGUUAGACCUUUAAUGCUGUUUAAACAUAGUUUUCUGAAAUCGUGGAGGAAAAACGAUGCCAUAUGUCACAUAAACCUGGAUGUAAAAGAUACAAUAGUGUAAUAAUGGGGCUUCCAACCUGCCAGGAUAUCCUUGUAAAGGAGAAUUGAUUUUCUCAAGGAUUCUUUACUGGGCAAAACAAAUUAAACCUACCUUUAGUUCUAUUUGUUUAAAGACCUCUUUGUUAAAAUAAGAAAAGUGAUAUAGAGAGACAUUCUAAUAAAUUAGAACAGGAUAAAUUAUACCCGGAAGCUUUCUGAAUACCUCCAGUUAUGAGAUACUUUAUAAUUGAAGAAUACUGCUGAGGCCUCCCAGGAAGGGAGCCUGCAGAUGUCUCUGAAACACUUCGAUUGACUGUGGUUUAUUUCAGCUGUGAUUCUACAGCUGGUGUGUGAUCCCUCUUUUUUCACCUUCCUUUUUGUCUUCAUUUUUUUAACUUUUAACUUGAUACGUCUUCUGACAUGUAAAGGGGCUCUGAGUUAGACACACUGUCAAGUAGAUUAGGCCCCAUACUUGAUUUUAAAAAUAGGGUAAUCUGCUCCAAAAUGCUCCAGGAUUUCUAAUCAAUCACUACAAUCCGGAUAAUUUUUUUUUAAAAGCUAAUAUUUAUUUAGGACACAGUGUGCACAUUAUGCUGGCCUAAUUUAUUAUUGAGAUGAGCAAACAAAGAAAAAAUUCAUGUUAAUUUCAACGAGCAUUACAAAUGCAUUAAAAUAAAUCUCAUUAUGACCAGAUUCUCAUCUGGUUUAAACUGACCAUUGUAAAAGUUCAUUGAUUUUAAUGGAGAUAUGACAACGUACAUGAUCUGAUGAUAUGAUCUACUUCUGUUUGUCAAAGGAAAUCUCACCACCACGUAAGUGGGAUUUUUUCUAGUGUUCUAAUAGAGUAUUAGAAAGAAUAGAGUGAAAAAAGUUAAACAUUGUCUCCUUAACAAAGAAGAAUGAACACUGUAAUGUAUUUGUGUUUCUGUGCUGCGAUCUACUGGUGUGGGUUGUUAAGCUAUGAUAGCAUAAAUAUGGCUGACUGAACCAAAGUCACAGUGUAACUCACUAGUCAAUGUGUAUUAUGUGUCCCUUUUCUGUGUGCAAUGGGUCUGUUACAGCUCUUAGCUUGGGAGCCUGGUUCUUUAGUUCAAGCUAUAGUGAUUUAUGAAAAUAUGGUGGUCAUCGCAAAACUGCUCAUCUGGGAUUUCCACUGCUGUGAGACUCAGAUCCUCAAGAUGGACUUCCUCUGUCCCAGGGAAGUAUGUAAUCCACUGUUCAGUGCAUGUGAUGUGUCCUUCACUGUGCCUGAUGCACAGAGGAUUAGAAUCUGUUACAAUCUUGCCCAGAGAGCCUAGAUCUUUAUCUCAAGUUCUGAAGACUCAUGCACUUAGUUCUGAAUGCUCCCAGUUCAAGCCAUGGUGUUUUUGCUUAGACAAGGAUCAGCAUACCUCUCAACCUCCCCACUUGAAUGCAAUGUGUGACAAAGACUCUAAAAUGAGAGAGACAAAAAAUUUACAUGUGGUGGAAACUUACAACUCUGAGAUUCAUUCAUCUAGUGUAAAUAGCUCUUUAUGUAAUCUUAGUUUCAUGAUUCUUUCUGAGGAAAUAAUUUGCAAUACUAAAAGUGCAGGGACACAAACUGUGAGGAAUGUGGAGAACUCUGGGACUGAAACUGAGUGACAUCCCUCGAAAUAAGGGACAUUUGAGAGGCCUGAGUCUCAGUAUUUGAGUCACUAAUAUUAAAUUGCCUUGAAAUAGAUAACAGAGCUGUUUCAUUUGUAAGAAAAUAGAUGCCUCCUCUGCUGGAGGUUGUGUAAAAGUUCAGCCAUAAUAA